UAUGAGUUUUGGCCAUCCCGCACAUUCUAGUGCAUCUUCCAGCACACUACGUAGAAGUGCCUUUGAAAACGAGGUGAUCAGGGUGCUGCAUCCGAUCCGCCUUACUCAAGAGGAUCAUUCAGCUCAGAUGAAUACUCUGACGUCUGGCCUGGAGGAGCGCCCAUCAGUGACUGCAGCAGAAGAGCGCGUAUUUGAGCCCUAUGAAGAGCUAGAUAAGUUCCUCGAAUUUGACAUGACUCUGUAAGAUGACACUGAGAUGAAGAAGUUGACAGAAACUCUGCGGAAGUAUGGAGGUAUCAAUCUCAGGGACGCCACACAAAGAAUCCUAAGAGCGUUGAUGUCAGACGAAGUCGCAACGGCAUUCAGCUGGAGAGGAAACAAAGGGAAAAAAAGGUUCUGCGACCUUCUCUGCUGCGAGGCUGU